rnacentral:rRNA from 1 species
CCCGCACAAGCGGUGGAGUAUGUGGUUUAAUUUCGAUGCAACGCGAAGAACCUUACCUGGUCUUGACAUCCCGGAGACCCUUAGGAAACUAGGGGGUGCUUCCAUCUGGAAGAAUCUGGAGACAGGUGCUGCAUGGCUGUCGUCAGCUCGUGUCGUGAGAUGUUGGGUUAAGUCCCGCAACGAGCGCAACCCUUGCCUUUAGUUGCCAGCAGUUCGGCUGGGCACUCUAAAGGGACUGCCGGUGUUAAACCGGAGGAAGGUGGGGAUGACGUCAAGUCCUCAUGGCCUUUAUGACCAGGGCUACACACGUACUACAAUGGCCGAUACAAAGGGCAGCGACACUGCGAGGUGAAGCCAAUCCCGUAAAAUCGGUCUCAGUCCGGAUUGGAGUCUGCAACUCGACUCCAUGAAGUUGGAAUCGCUAGUAAUCGUGGAUCAGCAUGCCACGGUGAAUACGUUCCCGGGCCUU